GACGUAGAGUUUAUAUUCCUAAAACCCUGCCCCUACUAUCUGCCGCGGGAAUUCUCAGUUGUGUUUUUGGCUAUUGUUUACAUUCAGCCACAAGCUAGCUCCGCAGCAGCGCUCGGCAAACUCCAUGACGUCAUCAGCGCAUUAGAGACAACUCAUUUAGACGCUGUUUUUAUCGUCACUGGUGACUUUAAUAAGUGCAACUUAUGGACUGUACACCCAAAACAUCACCAACAUGUGGCCAUUCCUACCCAUGACAAGAACACCCUGGGUCAUGUCUACAGUACAACCCCACAUAGCAAAAUUGGUAUGGCCCGGAUCUGGCCCACACAAUGUGCUUACUCAUGGCCCACAUACCGCAAAGAAUGACGGCCCUUUGGUGGCCCAGAUCUGGUUUGCCAGAGGUGGCCCAUACAUGCUUCAAGACCACAACCCUCAAUCCGUCUCCCCAAGAAAAGCCCAGCCACCUGCCUAAAUGACUACAAACCAGUUGAACUCACUCCAAUCAUUGCAAAAUGCUUUGAGAGAGUGGUGCUGGCCUACAUCCAGAGAAACAUCCCAGACACUCUGGAUCCCCUGCAGUAUGCCUACCGGGCCAAAGGGUCCACGCCAGAUGCCAUCGCUGCUGCCCUUCACUAUUCCCUCUCCCAUCUGGAAAACAAAGACUCAUCCAUCAGGGACUUUUUGACUGGCAGGCCCCAGUCCGCCAGGAUCGGCACCAGGACUUCAGCCAGCAUUAUUACAAACACAGGCGUUCCACAGGGUUGCGUCUUCAGUCCCAUUCUCUACACCCUGUACACCCAUGACUGUGUCACAUCCAACAAGGACAACACCAUAUUGAAGUUCGCAGAAGCAGCUUUAGAUACCUGGGUGUCUACAUCACUGAGGACCUCACCUGGUCACUGAACACCACACAGCUGGUCAAGAAGGCUCAACAGCGGCUGUACUUCCUGAGGAGGCUGAGGAAAUUUGGUUCGUCGGGCAAGAUCCUCAGCAGGUUCUACAGCUGCAUUGUGGACAGCACAUUGACCAGCUGCAUCACUGCAUGGUACGGCAGCACUACUGCUGUGGACCGCAAAUGCCUGCAGAGAGUGAUAACAACUGUGGAGAAGAUCAUCGGGACCCCGCUGCCCUCUCUGCAAAGCAUCUACCAUCACAGAGUCCAAAGGAGAGCUGCCUCCAUUCUCAAAGACUUCACACACCCCCAACAUAGACUGUUCACUCUUCUGCCCUUGAGACAAAGGUUUAGAAGUGUGAAAUCCAGAACAUUCCGACUCAACAAUUCCUUCUUCCCCACUGCUAUCAGACUCUUGGACAGCUGACCUAUUUUUAACUAUAAUAAUAAUUUGUGCACAUCAGGCACAUUAAGCCAGCACAUUAAGCUCAUAGAUAUUUUGAACACACAUCCAUUUCAAGCUUAAAUUUGUGUCUUUAUUUAUUUAUACUGUUUUUAUUUAUCAUUUCUAUUUCCCUAUAUUAACCGGCAUUUUUGUGUGGACAGCAAAGAAAGAAUUCCAUUGCACAGAGAAAUGCUUUCUUAGCACAUAUGACAAUAAAUGCUUUGAAUCCUUUAAUGUGGUAUAAAUUAAAUGUUUAUCUUCAAA
ensembl:lncRNA